UUAAGUGUUUUCCAUGGUAACAAGAUCUAUGUGUGUUAAGCGCAGAGAUGAAUGAUGGACCCACCUGAGCUGAUUAAGCCUUUGGUCGUCCUCGGUUGUAAGUGCAUAACAGAUGCUUUAAGCUGAUUUCAGCUUCUGCUGUGAUCCAGUGGCUGUGUUGCCUCUGUGUCAGGAUAGAAACCAAGAAUGGAUGCGCUCGAGCUGACCUACGGAUUCUUCAAUGGUCAUGAGCUCGUUGGCUGCGUCUUUGUUUUAAAGCAUGGAGGCCAAUAAUGUACAAGUUCAAUGAUAAAGAGCCAAGCAAGGACCCAUGAGAGGACUGGAAUACAUUCUGAACGUGUCUUGUGAUGAAUUCAUUUCUGCGUUACUGAAGUCCACUUAAAAAGGAGAUUUGGUUUUUCCUUAACAUUCCUUAAUUGAUAAAGAUGUACGUUAUUUUCAUUAUGAGGAAGAAGCCUAUAGGAGAUAAUGAAAGCUCCGUGCCGAUUUAAUCCUUCUGCCACGCCCAGUAAGCCUGUCUCAGGAGCCUA